ACCUACCAGGAGUGUAUUGAAUGCACGCUGCAUAGGAUGGACGAUAGUAGUUACUACAAGAAGCACACAGAUGAAGUCAUAGAAGGACCUCCUGCGCAAGAGGAAAUUACAAGGGUUUUAGAAGAUCCAUUCCAGGAACCAGAGACCAAGACCAAGUAUACGUAUUUCCCAAUAUCAUACCAACUCACUGUGAGAGACGACAACAGGAAGAACCUAUGGUAAUUUCUGACCUUGAGUCCCUUUGGCAAUCUUGACUGGGCUCCUACAUCUGGGAAAUAUCAAUUUCAUUUGGACUCAGGAACAUCUUCUACUUCAUCUAGAACUGGUUACUUCCCCAGCCAGCAGCGCGUCAAGGAAAAAUGGGAGAAAAUAUCAUCCAUUGUACAAAACAGCCAUUUUCAUGUCUAAGUAGUGUGGCUUUGGGUGAGUGAUACUGUCGUUAAAUAGUGGAACUGGAAAGCCCUUCUCAGCUCACAUAAUUUGCUAUUACAGACAAAAGAGCCAGGAUGAGACCUGAAACAGCUUACAGUAUUCACAUUUGUAGUGGGGCACCUGGCUGGCUAAGUUGGUAAA